rnacentral:rRNA from 1 species
CCGGGAUUGCCUUAGUAACGGCGAGUGAAGCGGCAAAAGCUCAAAUUUGAAAUCUGGUACCUUCGGUGCCCGAGUUGUAAUUUGGAGAGGGCAACUUUGGGGCCGUUCCUUGUCUAUGUUCCUUGGAACAGGACGUCAUAGAGGGUGAGAAUCCCGUGUGGCGAGGAGUGCGGUUCUUUGUAAAGUGCCUUCGAAGAGUCGAGUUGUUUGGGAAUGCAGCUCUAAGUGGGUGGUAAAUUCCAUCUAAAGCUAAAUAUUGGCGAGAGACCGAUAGCGAACAAGUACAGUGAUGGAAAGAUGAAAAGAACUUUGAAAAGAGAGUGAAAAAGUACGUGAAAUUGUUGAAAGGGAAGGGCAUUUGAUCAGACAUGGUGUUUUGUGCCCUCUGCUCCUUGUGGGUAGGGGAAUCUCGCAUUUCACUGGGCCAGCAUCAGUUUUGGUGGCAGGAUAAAUCCAUAGGAAUGUAGCUUGCCUCGGUAAGUAUUAUAGCCUGUGGGAAUACUGCCAGCUGGGACUGAGGACUGCGACGUAAGUCAAGGAU